rnacentral:lncRNA from 8 species
AUGAAGGCAUGUCUCUGGCUGCGACCUGGGGUCACUGCGGUAGGUAAGUGGUUAAUUUGCAUAAUGUAUACAGGAUUUGUUUUUUUGUUUUUUACACCGCACAAAUUUUUCUGCCGUUUUCUACUAAAGAACAUUUUCCUUUUUUAUAAACCAGAAAAACUAACCUCUACAGAGAGAGAGAGAGAGAGAGAGAGAGAGAAACUCCCUGCCUGCAGUCUCUACUGUCAGAUAGAGUUUGACAUCAAGCUGUACAGCGCAGUCAAAAACAUACAUCAGAGCUCAAUUUACAGACACGUGGCAGAAUGCUGCUGCUGCCCUACGGCAGGAGGUGCAUUGGACUCAAACUCCCAGCAUCCUCCUGGUCUCCCACAAGCCCCACCCCCCCUAUGCUAAUUCUACAGCUCUCAGCAUCCACACAAAGGCAGUCUGAAAGCCUCUCUCUCCAUCAUGUUGCAAUAAAAACAAACAACCCCAAAUAAAAAGUGACAGAGUAAUAAAUAUCUCGGUGCUACAUCAUGUGUAUACUUCCUUGACGGCGUUAAGUUACCUGAUGCAAAGUGCAUUACAUCUCCUGCCCGCCCCACCGCCCCACUCCUUCAUCAAGUACUCAGAGCAGAAUAGAGAGAGAGAGAGAGAGCAAAGCGGAGUAAUCCAUGCAAAGGAGUGUCGGAAGGUUGAUUCCAACUCUGGAACCAACACACACAGGAGUUACCUCAUUAGAUACCUCAACUCUCUCACACAGACACACACAAAUGCACAAACGUACACACAAAUGCACAAACGUACACACACACACACACACACACACACACCCCAUCUGACAACAUCAGCUGGUCCAGAUCCAACCCCAACAGAAACUACAGAAGACUAGUUCAAAUCAAAAAACUACAAAACAAGAUGUCUAAAAAGGCUUAGUGGAAUGAGCAGAAUAAAGGCAUUUGAAAUAAAAGACUGAGGCACACACACAUCCUUUCCCAUCCCCACUUAUACCUACAAAAUAAGAGUAAAAAAUGGGCCAAAAUUAAAGAACAAAAUAAAACCAACAAUGGCAAACAAAAUGACAGCAUUGUGAUGCUUCAGUAGUUCUCCUGGUCCCUGUGGUGAAAGGAACUUGUGUUUUGGGAGUGGAAACAAACUGCACCGGGAUUGGCCCAGAGCCGACU